rnacentral:rRNA from 1 species
CGGGGAGGCACCACAACGGGUGGAGCUUGCGGUUUAAUUGGAUUCAAACGCCGGAAAUCUUACCGGGACCGACAGCAAUAUGAAGGCCAGGCUGAAGACUUUGCCGGAUUAGCUGAGAGGUGGUGCAUGGCCGUCGUCAGUUCGUACUGUGAAGCAUCCUGUUAAGUCAGGCAACGAGCGAGACCCACGCCCACAGUUGCCAGCGUACUCUCUGGAGUGACGGGUACACUGUGGGACCGCCGCUGCUAAAGCGGAGGAAGGAAUGGGCAACGGUAGGUCAGUAUGCCCCGAAUAUCCCGGGCUACACGCGAGCUACAAUGGUUGGUACAAUGGGUAUCUACCCCGAAAGGGGACGGGAAUCUCCUAAAACCAAUCUUAGUUCGGAUUGAGGGCUGCAACUCGCCCUCAUGAAGCUGGAAUCCGUAGUAAUCGCGUUUCAACAGAACGCGGUGAAUACGUCCCUGCUCCUU